rnacentral:rRNA from 1 species
AGCAGCCGCGGUAAUUCCAGCUCCAAUAGCGUAUAUUAAAGUUGUUGCAGUUAAAAAGCUCGUAGUUGAAUUUCGGGGUUCUACCGUUGGUCGGGCAAUAGUCUGUACUGGCGUGUGGAAUUUCUACCUUCUGGGGAACCAUCAUGUUAUUUAUUUAGCGUGGUGGGAAACCAGGACCUUUACCUUGAAAAAAUUAGAGUGUUCAAAGCAGGCUUACGUCUGAAUACAUUAGCAUGGAAUAAUAAAAUAGGACGGUGGUCCUGUUUUGUUGGUUUCUGAAUCACCGUAAUGAUUAAUAGGGAUAGUUGGGGGCAUUAGUAUUCAAUUGUCAGAGGUGAAAUUCUUGGAUUUAUUGAAGACUAACUUCUGCGAAAGCAUUUGCCAAGGAUAUUUCAUUAAUCAAAGAACGAAAGUUAGGGGAUCGAAGACGAUCAGAUACCGUCGUAGUCUUAACCAUAAACUAUGCCGACUAGGGAUCGGACGAUGUUAAUUUUCUGUACUCGUUCGCGCCUUACGGGAACCUAAAGUGUUUGGGUU